AAAACGACUCUCGGCAACGGAUAUCUCGGCUCUCGCAUCGAUGAAGAACGUAGCGAAAUGCGAUACUUGGUGUGAAUUGCAGAAUCCCGUGAACCAUCGAGUCUUUGAACGCAAGUUGCGCCCUAAGCCUUUAGGCCGAGGGCACGUCUGCCUGGGUGUCACGC
rnacentral:rRNA from 1 species